rnacentral:rRNA from 1 species
AUGCGACCUCAGGCGAGCUGUGGCCUUGCCGCACGCCGGCCGCAGCUGUCCGGGUUGCUCCCCGCCGAGCUGGCCCGUGUUAAGCACCUGCGCCACCUCGACCUAUCCGGGAACGGCCUCAACGGCACCCUCCCGGUCGCGCUGCUGCUCAACGCCACCGAGUUGUGCGUGCUCUCGCUCGCCGGCAACGACCUCUCCGGGCGCGCUCCCGGACGCGUCCUACGCGCCGGCGCUCCAGGAGCUCAACCUCUCCGACAACGCGCUCGCGGGCUGGCUCCCCGCCGCGCUCCUCAGGGCGCCGGGGCUCGCCGGGCUGGGCCUCGCCAACAACUACCUCGUCGCGCGAGCUCCCCGCCGUGGGGCACGAAGACGAGGUGUUUGCUGAAAUGCCUAAGAGAGAUAUAG